rnacentral:rRNA from 1 species
GAUGAACGCUGGCGGCGUGCCUAAUACAUGCAAGUCGAGCGAACAGGCGAGGAGCUUGCUCCUCUGACGUUAGCGGCGGACGGGUGAGUAACACGUGGAUAACCUACCUAUAAGACUGGGAUAACUUCGGGAAACCGGAGCUAAUACCGGAUAAUAUAUUGAACCGCAUGGUUCAAUAGUGAAAGACGGUUUUGCUGUCACUUAUAGAUGGAUCCGCGCCGCAUUAGCUAGUUGGUAAGGUAACGGCUUACCAAGGCAACGAUGCGUAGCCGACCUGAGAGGGUGAUCGGCCACACUGGAACUGAGACACGGUCCAGACUCCUACGGGAGGCAGCAGUAGGGAAUCUUCCGCAAUGGGCGAAAGCCUGACGGAGCAACGCCGCGUGAGUGAUGAAGGUCUUCGGAUCGUAAAACUCUGUUAUUAGGGAAGAACAAAUGUGUAAGUAACUAUGCACGUCUUGACGGUACCUAAUCAGAAAGCCACGGCUAACUACG